AGAAGAACUAAAGGAGUUUUUGCAAAGAUUACUGAGGUUAUUCUUAUUCAAUCACCCAACAUCUCUAUGGAUUUAGCCUUGAGACUUGCUUUGGAAAUUCUGUAUUAGAUGACCCAACAUGAGAAAUAGCAUGAGAGUACUUGCAUGUUGCUGCUUGCUCUCUUGUGUCUUCUGUCAUCACCUUGAGAACAUACCCAGGCUAGUCUGCUGGAUGAGAUCUGGAACUGAACCAGACCAUAUCUCUGAGGUAAGCCUAUAAAUGUUUUACAUUGAAGGUAGUUCUUUUAUCUCUAUUCAAGAGGUACUAUUUAGGAGAAAUGCAUUUUUAAUUUAAAAAUGUAGAAGAUAAACAAACAUGUUUUUUAAAAAAAAAUUUAAGUCAUUUACAGACUGG